AGUUGAUCGGUUACCAUAUCAAUCAAUGGCGUUAUUCAUUCUAACUUCAUCAAUUAGGUUUAUAUCAUGAUAUCAAAUUACAAUACCAAUUCAUUCAGGGCGUUAGGUAGAGCAACCAUUUGGGGUUCAUUUAUUCCUCUGUUUGUUGGGUUAUAUACUGUACAAAAUGCCUAUAUCGAAUUCUUAUAAGUUGCAUCCACUAUCAGGGCGAUAAUCAGCCACAUCAAUUGAUUUGUAAUCUAAAGAGAUCAGGUAUGUUGUAAUCUAGCUUUGAAGAAUUACUGUUUUAUUGUUAUGCUUAGUAUUUUUUUACUUGUUAAAAGUUGUAGAUAUGAAAAAUAAUGAAUAUCAAAAGACAUCGUCAUGAAUUUAAUAGAUAUGCGCAGACCUUUACCUUCUUUGUCUCCAUGUGGUUGUAGGGAUUCAGAUUCUGAUUCGCUUAUUACUGACAUAAACAGACGUAACUCAUUUGGUUGCUUGCAUUCUUCACCUUCAGCUUGUGCUCUAGAAGCUUGCUUAUCGAAAAGGCAUCAAGGUCAACAGUUUGAUAAGAAGCGCGGGACUUCAAACACAUAGUUUUUCUCCCAGCUACAAAAAGAUUGAAAUAUUCUUCAACAAUGUUCAAUUAUUCAUGUUACCUCUUCGCAACAUGAUCUUUGUGGCAUUAUUUUAAUUUUGGUAUUUUGUAUUUUUAUUAUGUAUGUUGCUCUCCAGGCCAACAGUUUUUCCUCUGUCUUCAAUUGUAUUUGGAUA